CCUACGGGCGGCAGCAGUGAGGAAUAUUGGUCAAUGGACGAGAGUCUGAACCAGCCAAGUAGCGUGAAGGAUGACUGCCCUAUGGGUUGUAAACUUCUUUUAUAAAGGAAUAAAACGAGGCACGUGUGCCUUUUUGCAUGUACUUUAUGAAUAAGGAUCGGCUAACGCCGUGCCAGCAGCCGCGGUAAUACGGAGGAUCCGAGCGUUACACGGAUUUAUUGGGUUUAAAGGGAGCGUAGAUGGGUUGUUAAGUCAGUUGUGAAAGUUUGCGGCUCAACCUGACAAUUGAAAUUGAUACUGGCAGUCUUGAGUACAGUUGAGGUAGGCGGAAUUCGUGGUGUAGCGGUGAAAUGCUUAGAUAUCACGAAGAACCCCGAUUGCGAAGGCAGCUUACUAAACUGUGACUGACAUUGAUGCUCGAAAGUGUGGGUAGCAAACAGGAUUAGAUACCCUUGUAGUC
rnacentral:rRNA from 1 species